ensembl:lncRNA
ACGAUAUUUGAGUAAAGAGCCUGGCAUUUUCACUUCGCGCCAAGCCCUGCAAAUUAUUCAGCUGGUCCUGUGGGCCAGGUCAGUGGCUCCCCAGGAUCCCUGAGGCUGUUCUAUGGACUAAGGGACCCAAAGCCUACAGGUGUGGAAACAGUGGGUUCACUGUGAACAGUAUGGAAACAGCUGUGUUAAAAAAAAAUCUCCAAGUCUUUAGUGUGCCGAUGUGCUUUGUAGCCGUCCAGGAAAGGGGUGUGAGAGUCGUCUCCAAACUUCCUUGGCCACAAAACCCCUUUCUUUGUUCAAAAGCGUGUAGUAUAACAAGUAUCACAUAGACUGAUGCUGGGGGAUGAUGGCCUUGCUGUUUGCUGAGGUGUCUGUGAACUCUGCGACCUUUACCUUUUAUUACAGCGAGUUUAUGUGCAGAGUGGAAUUGGGGGGCGGGAAGGAAAGCCGCAGUUAAGAGUGAGGAUGGUGCUACUCGCUGACCCAGGACUCUGCUACAAGGAAGACUUAGGCUCCUCCAGGCUCAAGCAAGCCCACACGGACCCCCUGGACCCCCGUUUUCCUCCUCUGAAUCUUCGCUUAUGUUGCUUUGUCUCCUUACACGCUCUGUGCUACUUCAAUCCACUGAUUCUUGUCGUUUCUUUUUCUAAAAUGUAUUCCAAAUUUAUCUACCCAUCUCCCAGCUUCACCCUGCUAUAAAGCACGGUGCCCCAAAGAGACUGCCACUGCAGUCUGCUUACCCCCCGAGCUCCAGCCCAUUCUCCACGCGGUGCUCCGUCCCGGCUUUCUUUUCAAAGUGUAAACUGGCUUCACACCACCGCUUGGCUUGAAGCCCUUCAAAAGUCUUUCUACAGUUGGGAGAAAAUCCAGAUUCCUUCUCAUGAUCAAUGCCUUGCAAGCCCACCUACUUCUCCAGCUCCUUCUCAAGCUGCCUGGCGCUUGAGUCCUUCUUGAUAAUCCCCAAUUUUCUCUUUAAGAACUUUUCACUUGGGCCCACAGGAUUUUGUUCAUUCCAAUCCCCACUUUUCAAAUGGCUGGUUCUUCCUCGUGCCUCAGAUCUCCACUGAAACUCUCGAAGACGUCCCCUGCCUUUUGCCAAAGCAGGACCCUGCCCUGCCCCCAGCGCCACCCAGCCUGGUGAUGCAGUCAGCGCCUUCUGCUCUUCAGUCCCCAUAUCUGUAGCAAGCUGACUGUGUGGAGAAGUGUGUGUGACAUUCUGUUGGACGUAAAACCAGCACGUGUCCCAAGGAAAUCAGCAGCAGCGGUUUGAAACAGCAGACUGUAUGCCUAAUACGGCGGUGAACCGGGAGGAGUUGCGGGCACGCCUGCGCUCCAGAGCACCGCGCCGGGGGCCGGCGUGUGGCCGAGGGCCGGGGGCCUUCAACGGGGCAGCUGAUCUCCGUGGGGAACGUUGGUGUCGCCUCGGCCGUGGCACCGCCUCUCCGUCUGAGAUGGGCCCGUCUGCAUCGGAGACUCAUUUCCGUGGUUGAAGCCUUCACCCAGAAUCCCGGGGACUUCUCUACACGGACCAGAGAUGCGGUUUAAACCCGGUUUGUCCCCUUCAACAACACUCACUCCAGCGUUCUGAAAAACAUCCUGUACCUUCGUCCCUCUGAGAGUUCAUGCUAUAAUACGGUGGGCUAAUCGUAUUAUCUGGCGUCCCUAAGAAGGUUCAGUUCUGUGAAAUAUGGAUUGUUUUCAUCUUAGCACAGAGCCACACACACUUUCAGUCUCC